GUCUUAAAAAAAGAAAAAAGAAAAGGCACUCAAUGGAAUAUGAUACAGAGAAGAUUACCAUAGCCUGUGAGCAAGGACAACAUGCAAACUUGUGAGCUGUUCCAUAUUUUU